rnacentral:rRNA from 1 species
UACGUAGGGGGCAAGCGUUGUCCGGAAUCAUUGGGCGUAAAGCGCGCGUAGGCGGCCCUGUAAGUCCGUUGUGAAAGUCGAAGGCUCAACCUUCGAAAGCCGAUGGAUACUGCAGGGCUAGAGUCCGGAAGAGGCGAGUGGAAUUCCUAGUGUAGAGGUGAAAUUCGUAGAUAUUAGGAAGAACACCAGUGGCGAAGGCGGCUCACUGGUCCGGUACUGACGCUGAGGUGCGAAAGCGUGGGGAGCAAACAGG